GGUAUUUGAUGUAACAUACAAAACUAACCCUACGAAUGUGGCCUUUUCCGAAGAAAGGUUACAGUUACACAUGGAUCAAAUUGCUUAUGAAUCACCACCAGGAAUCCAGUGUCUUCAUUGUCUAAGAUUUGACAAGGAGGUUAAGGGUGGUCAUUCCUUCUUUGUCGACAUCUUUCACGUUGCUGAGACUUUGAGGACAACAUACCCUGAGGAAUUUCAAAACCUUUUGCGCAUACCAGCAACGUUCAAUAACAUCUUCUAUGCCAGAGAGGCCCAAUUCCAUAUGGUGUACCAACGACCGCACAUUACACUCAACCAUGAUGGAAUGGUAUCGAAGUAUUAUAUCUUUUAAAUGAUCCACCAGAAAAGAAAAGAACCUCAG